UGCGUAGGGUCCGAGCGUUGUCCGGAAUUAUUGGGCGUAAAGGGCUCGUAGGCGGUUUGUCGCGUCGGGAGUGAAAACACCGGGCUUAACUCGGUGCUUGCUUUCGAUACGGGCAGACUAGAGGUAUGCAGGGGAGAACGGAAUUCCUGGUGUAGUGGUGAAAUGCGCAGAUAUCAGGAGGAACACCGGUGGCGAAGGCGGCAUCCUGGACCAACACUGACGCUGAGGAGCGAAAGCCAGGGGAGCGAACGGG
rnacentral:rRNA from 1 species